UUGGAGGGCAAGUCUGGUGCCAGCAGCCGCGGUAAUUCCAGCUCCAACAGCGUAUAUUAAAGUUGUUGCAGUUAAAAAGCUCGUAGUUGAAUUUCGGGAUCAAUUUGCUGGUCGUGCCUCUGGUACGUACUGGUAUUAUUGGUUUCUCCCUUCUGACGAACCAUGAUGUCAUUAAUUUGAUGUCGUGGAGAAUCAGGACUGUUACUUUGAAAAAAUUAGAGUGUUUAAAGCAGGCAUUAGCUUGAAUACAUUAGCAUGGAAUAAUGAAAUAGGACGUUUGAUCCUAUUUUGUUGGUUUCUAGGAUUGACGUAAUGAUUAAUAGGGAUAGUUGGGGGCAUUAGUAUUCAAUUGUCAGAGGUGAAAUUCUUGGAUUUAUUGAAGACUAACUACUGCGAAAGCAUUUGCCAAGGAUGUUUUCAUUAAUCAAGAACGAAAGUUAGGGGAUCGAAGACGAUCAGAUACCGUCGUAGUCUUAACCAUAAACUAUGCCGACUAGGGAUCGGAUGAUGUUAAUUUUUUAAUGGCUCAUUCGGCGCCUUACGGGAAAC
rnacentral:rRNA from 1 species